rnacentral:rRNA from 1 species
CUACGGGAUGCUCCAGCAACGAAUAUUCCGCAAUGGACGAAAGUCUGACGGAGCGACGCCGCGUGCAGGAAGAAGUCCCUCGGGAUGUAAACUGCUGUCAGGGGUUAGGAAUUCUGACCAGCCCCAAAGGAAGCACUGGCUAACUCCGUGCCACGCGGCCGCGGUAACACGGAGAGUGCGAGCGUUGUUCGGAAUUACUGGGCUUAAAGAGCGUGUAGGCGGAGUGCCAGGUGCCGUGUGAAAGCCCCGGUCUCAACCCGGGAAUGGCACGGCAAACCGGCGCUCUUGAGGCAGGUAGAGGUGACUGGAACGACUGGUGGAGCGGUGAAAUGCGUGGAUAUCAGUUGGAACGCCGGAGGCUAAAGCGGGUCACUGGACCUGUCCUGACGCUGAGACGCGAAAGCGUGGGUAGCGAACAGGAUUAGAUACCCGGGUAGUC